rnacentral:lncRNA from 1 species
CCAAAAUCUGGAACAAGGAUGAGCGAUAGUAAAAUCAUGGUUAUGCUCAUAGAUAUGUGUCAAAUUUUUUAAAUGGUGAUGACGGUACAACUUGGAUUAAAGUGAUGAGCAAAAAUACUUCUAUAAAAAUUAGGUCGAAAGUAAUGAUAAUAAAAAUAAAAAUAUCAAAUUCUUAUAAUGAAUGACGAGUUAUAGAACUCAAUGUCUCAAUCAAACAGUACAAAAGUGGAAACUUGAGUAACAAGUACAAGUAGGAUCCUCACGUCACGUAC